rnacentral:rRNA from 1 species
UACGUAGGAGGCGAGCGUUGUCCGGAGUUACUGGGCGUAAAGGGGUGCGCAGGUGGCCGUGCGCGUGGGGAGUGGAAAUCGCCUGGCUUAACUGGGCGGGGCUUUCCAGGACGGCGCGGCUUGAGCCACAGAGGGGGGCGUGGAAUUCCGGGUGGGAGCGGUGAAAUGCGUAGAGAUCCGGAGGAACACCGACGGCGUAGGCAGCGCCCUGGCUGUGAAUAAAGCUGACACUGAGGCACGAAAAGCUGGGGGAGCAAACAGG